rnacentral:rRNA from 1 species
UACGUAGGGUGCAAGCGUUGUCCGGAAUUAUUGGGCGUAAAGAGCGUGUAGGCGGCCCGACCAGUCCGCUGUGAAAGUCCAGGGCUCAACCCUGGAAUGCCGGUGGAUACUGUCGGGCUAGAGUCCGGAAUGGGCGAGUGGAAUUCCUGGUGUAGCGGUGAAAUGCGCAGAUAUCAGGAGGAACACCAAUGGCGAAGGCAGCUCGCUGGGACGGUACUGACGCUGAGACGCGAAAGCGUGGGGAGCAAACAGG